CGAGGAGGUAGGGCUUACGCUCGCGUUUGUCUGUUAUAUCUUGGUGGACGAGUCGUCGUGGUUGGGACUGAGGUGCCUACAACGUGCUUUUGAGUGGGUUUGUGUCUCCGUGUGCGCCGUGUGCGGAUAGCUUGCUAUGUAUGUGUGGUUGUGUGUGGAUUGAUGCGGGCUUUAACUUGUCGCCGUUCGGGACGUUGACGAAAUGGAGCGAUCCGACCCGUCUUGAAACACGGACCAAGGAGUCUAACAUGUGUGCAAGUGUUAGGGUGUGGAAACCCCAGCGCGAAAUGAAAGUGAAGGGCAGCGCAAGUUGUCUGAGGUAGGAAACGUUGCGGGCUUCGGUCUGCGGCGUGGCACUAUCGACCGAUCAUGAACCUUCGUGGUGAAAGAUUUGAGUUUGAGCACAUAUGUUGGUACCCGAAAGAUGGUGAACUAUGCCUGAGUAGGGUGAAGCCAGGGGAAACUCUGGUGGAAGCUCGUAGCGAUUCUGACGUGCAAAUCGAUCGUCAAACUUGGGUAUAGGGGCGAAAGACUAAUCGAACCAUCUAGUAGCUGGUUCCCUCCGAAAUUUCCCUCAGGAUAGCAGCACCUUAUUUACGAUAGUUUUAUGAGGUAAAGCGAAUGAUUAGAGGAUUCGGGGAAGAAACUUCCUCGACCUAUUCUCAAACUUUAAAUCUGUAAGACCUGCAGGUUUCUUAAU
rnacentral:rRNA from 1 species